GCCGUGUAGCUCAGUAGGUAGAGCGUCGAUCUAGUAAUUCGAAGGUCGCGGGUUCGAGACCCAGCCGCUGGGUA
rnacentral:tRNA from 1 species